AGAGACAUUUGUUUGAAUUUUGCGGCUGUUUGUUUAACUUUAUGCAAAGUUUGAUUUAUUCCUUGUUUUAUCUUACUUUGUGUUGCCAGCUAAUAACAAAAUGAGUUUGGAUUCCCUCUUUCAGCAAAUACUACUCACCGAACAACAGUUAACUGAACAGACACAGAGAUUUAAAGAAGUGAAAGUAGCCAUCAUCAGAUGCAAUGAACAGAUCAAGAGCCAUACUGACAAUCUUGAAAGAACCAAAGAAGAACGUGAUCAGAAAGCUCAGCAGUCAUCUGUGAUGAGGCUGCAGCGUGGUCUGAUGAAGAAACACGAAAACCAGAUGUUGCUGAAAAUUGAGGAGCUGCUCUGCCAGACGAACCAACUACAGCAACGUCUCGUCACCAUAAAGAAGGAGUCCAUGGAGGAAAAGGAAAAAUUCCUUUUAGAAAUCUCAAGGUUCAACAGCGACUUCAGUCUCGGACGAAGCAAAGAGAUCCAGUCUGAGAGCCACACACAGACUGAGAUCCUGGACCUGGAGAGGGAGGCAGAAUCCUUAUAUAAAGAGAUGAAGCUGAUGGGCCACAGGAACAGGCACAUGAACUCAAUGCAGGAACAGAAGAGAGUGCUCCAGGUCAAACUACACAGCCUGGAAAAUUCACAGAAAGACUUGGACCGGCAGUUGUGGGAGGCUGAAGCAGUGACAGGAUCUUUGAAAGCGGAGAGCCUGUUUGUGAGUCAGAAACCUCUCACUGACAGCACCUGUCUGAGCCACUGCGAGGAGUCUUUAGCUGGUUAUGAAACAGAAAGCAUUGCCAUCGCCUCUAAAUGAUGUGCAAAGCGAAGGACACCUUCAGGAUUAAUACUGAAUAUUUCUUGAUACGUAUGGUGGUAUAGGGCUGGUAUCAGAAACAUUAAGACUAUUAACUCUGAGGUCAAACACCCAUACAAUGUACUCGUCUGAGAACUGCAAGCACAGGUCUGCAAAAACAUCUCAGACAUCUGUCAUCUCUUCACAGUACAGUAUUAGCCAGUUGUAUAUCAUGAAUCAAGGACCUCCUCUCUAUUGAAACAUGACUGGGAGGAGAGUCCUCCCUGUUUCUCCACAAAGAGACUUCCUUUAUGUGAUUAAAGACUGGAGAUCAAUAGCGUCCAGGAAGGAAGGGUCAUUGUUAUUGCUGAUGCCACUACUUUGGAUAAUGUCUUCUCUACAAUACUGUGGAUGUAAAGUGAUUAAAAAACCCAACCAAUGAAGUCAACGGUUAUUCUAAUCAAA